AGACCAUGGUGUGGGCACUCUCUCUACAAAUCCUUGAACCUUUCCCAGACCUUGAACAAACUCUCAUCUGCCUGUUGAGUAAUAACAAUGAGUUGUUUUCUCAGGU
rfam:Spinacia oleracea cultivar SynViroflay scaffold53223.con0002.1, whole genome shotgun sequence.